UUUAGAGUUUGAUUCCUGGCUCAGAACGAACGCUGGCGGCAGGCUUAACACAUGCAAGUCGAACGAGAAAAUGUAGCAAUACAUGAGUACAGUGGCAGACGGGUGCGUAACACGUGGGAAUCUCCCCUUUAGUUCGGAACAACCGCGGGAAACUGCGGCUAAUACCGGAUACGGACUACGGUCGAAAGAUUUAUCGCUAAAGGAUGAGCCCGCGCUGGAUUAGCUAGUUGGUAGGGUAACGGCCUACCAAGGCAACAGUCCAUAGCUGGUCUGAGAGGACGACCAGCCACACUGGGACUGAGAUACGGCCCAGACUCCUACGGGAGGCAGCAGCGAGGAAUAUUGGACAAUGGGCGAAAGCCUGAUCCAGCCAUGCCGCGUGAGUGAUGAAGGCCUUAGGGUUGUAAAGCUCUUUCGGCGGGGAAGAGAAUGACGUACCCGCAGAAGAAGCCCCGGC
rnacentral:rRNA from 1 species